rnacentral:misc_RNA from 1 species
AGCAGCCGCGGUAAUUCCAGCUCCAAUAGCGUAUAUUAAAGUUGUUGCAGUUAAAAAGCUCGUAGUUGAAUUUCGGGGUUAGCAGGUCGGUCGUGCCACCGGUAUGAACUGGUCUCGCUGAUCCCUCCCUCUUGACGAACUGUGAUGCCAUUAAUUUGGUGUCGCAGGGAAUCAGGACUGUUACUUUGAAAAAUUAGAGUGUUUAAAGCAGGCUCACGCUUGAAUACAUUAGCAUGGAAUAAUGAAAUAGGACGUUUGAUCCUAUUUUGUUGGCUUCUAGGAUUGACGUAAUGAUUAAUAGGGAUAGUUGGGGGCAUUAGUAUUCAAUUGUCAGAGGUGAAAUUCUUGGAUUUAUUGAAGACUAACUACUGCGAAAGCAUUUGCCAAGGAUGUUUUCAUUAAUCAAGAACGAAAGUUAGGGGAUCGAAGACGAUCAGAUACCGUCGUAGUCUUAACCAUAAACUAUGCCGACUAGGGAUCGGAUGAUGUUAAUUUUUAAUGACUCAUUC